rnacentral:rRNA from 1 species
GUGUCAGCCGCCGCGGUAAUACGUAGGGUGCGAGCGUUGUCCGGAAUUAUUGGGCGUAAAGAGCUCGUAGGCGGUCUGUCGCGUCUGCUGUGAAAACCCGAGGCUCAACCUCGGGCCUGCAGUGGGUACGGGCAGACUAGAGUGCGGUAGGGGAGAAUGGAAUUCCUGGUGUAGCGGGGGAAUGCGCAGAAAUCAGGAGGAACACCGAUGGCGAAGGCAGUUCUCUGGGCCGUAACUGACGCUGAGGAGCGAAAG